rnacentral:sRNA from 1 species
AUGGACCAUGCAUCCACUGCGGCUCUGCGUCCGCAGUCCAUACCUAGCGGACGACUGCACGCUACGUUUUUUAGGC